rnacentral:rRNA from 1 species
UACGUAGGGGGCAAGCGUUGUCCGGAAUCAUUGGGCGUAAAGCGCGUGUAGGCGGCCAGAUAAGUCCGCUGUGAAAUCUCGAGGCUCAACUUCGAGCUGUCGGUGGAAACUGUCUGGCUAGAGUCCGGAAGAGGAGAAUGGAAUUCCUGGUGUAGCGGUGAAAUGCGCAGAUAUCAGGAAGAACGCCCGUGGCGAAGGCGGUUCUCUGGGACGGUACUGACGCUGAGACGCGAAAGCGUGGGGAGCGAACAGG